UACAGAGGUCUCAAGCGUUGUUCGGAUUUAUUGGGCGUAAAGGGUGCGUAGGCGGCGCGGUAAGUCGGGUGUGAAAUCUUGGAGCUUAACUCCGAAACUGCAUUCGAUACUGCCGUGCUUGAGGACUGGAGAGGAGACUGGAAUUUACGGUGUAGCGGUGAAAUGCGUAGAUAUCGUAAGGAAGACCAGUGGCGAAGGCGGGUCUCUGGACAGUUCCUGACGCUGAGGCACGAAGGUCAGGGGAGCAAACGGG
rnacentral:rRNA from 1 species